GACGAACGCUGGCGGCGUGCUUAACACAUGCAAGUCGAACGGAAAGGCCCUGCUUGCAGGGUACUCGAGUGGCGAACGGGUGAGUAACACGUGGGUGAUCUGCCCUGCACUUCGGGAUAAGCCUGGGAAACUGGGUCUAAUACCGGAUAGGAGCCAUUUUUAGUGUGAUGGUUGGAAAGUUUUUUCGGGGUAGGAUGAGCUCGCGGCCUAUCAGCUUGUUGGUGGGGUAAUGGCCUACCAAGGCGGCGACGGGUAGCCGGCCUGAGAGGGUGGACGGCCACAUUGGGACUGAGAUACGGCCCAGACUCCUACGGGAGGCAGCAGUGGGGACUAUUGCACAAUGGGCGCAAGCCUGAUGCAGCGACGCCGCGUGGGGGAUGACGGCCUUCGGGUUGUAAACUCCUUUCGCUAGGGACGAAGCUUUUUGUGACGGUACCUAGAUAAGAAGCACCGGCUAACUACGUG
rnacentral:rRNA from 1 species